UACGUAGGGUGCGAGCGUUAAUCGGAAUUACUGGGCGUAAAGCGUGCGCAGGCGGUUUUGUAAGCCAGAUGUGAAAUCCCCGGGCUUAACCUGGGAAUGGCAUUUGGGACUGCAAGGCUUGAGUUUGGCAGAGGAGACUGGAAUUCCUGGUGUAGCAGUGAAAUGCGUAGAUAUCUGGAGGAACACCGGUGGCGAAGGCGGCAUCCUGGACCAACACUGACACUGAGGAGCGAAAGCCAGGGGAGCAAACGGG
rnacentral:rRNA from 1 species